rnacentral:tRNA from 1 species
GGGGUUGUGGCUCAGCGGUAGAGCACUUGCCUGGCAUGUAUGAGGCUCUGGGUUCAAUCCUCAGCACCACA